rnacentral:rRNA from 1 species
UACACACCGCCCGUCACACCAUGGGAGUGAGUUGCUCCAGAAGCCGUUAGCCUAACCGCAAGGAGGGCGACGACCACGGAGUGGUUCAUGACUGGGGUA